CAUGAAUUAGUUAAUAAUAAUAUGGUCAAAUCCAAUAGAUAUUAAACAUAUUUGUGUUAUCUACGGUCGAACCGGGUCAAGGUUUCCGAAGUUAUCAUUUCGUUUUGGCGGUUCGGCCGUUGUCUUUUAUCGAUGAUUUCUAUUCACAAAAUAAAUGUGCCAGGAUCGAACAUACACUGUUGUAUAUUUGCCAUAACCAUGCCUACCAUAUUAGUUACCUAACCAUAUUUUACACGGUUGGUGAAAAUAUAUUAGGUAUAUUCAAUACAUUCAUACGUUCAAAUAGGGAAUGAGUUUGGGAGGCGAAUGCCUCUCAUAAAUCUUGUACUUAUCAAGUGAAACCGUAUAUAAUAUUAAUCGAUAUUACGGGGUGUCGAGUCCUCCCG